CGUGUAAGCAGUAAGGCUGAGUAUUAGGCAAAUCCGGUACUCGUUAAGGCUGAGCUGUGAUGGGGAGAAGACAUUGAGUCUUCGAGUCGUUGAUUUCACACUGCCGAGAAAAGCCUCUAGAUAGAAAAUAGGUGCCCGUACCGCAAACCGACACAGGUAGUCAAGAUGAGAAUUCUAAGGUGAGCGAGCGAACUCUCGUUAAGG
rnacentral:rRNA from 1 species